CUGUACGAACUUGUGUGGGAGAGAUAAAGUGAAUGUGGGUGUCGAUACCGCCGGCAGUCAAGAUCAGGCCUUCGCCAGCAAUGGCUUCGGUGGAACUGCCGAUGAUCAUGCCUGGGGUAACGCCAUCCAUCAUGUGGGGGUUGCCGGCUUUUCCGAUGCCAGCAAUUUUUCCGUCCUUAAUGCCUAUGUCGGCCUUGAAAAUACCAGUGGCGUCAAUGACAAGCGCGCUUGUAAUGACAGUGUCUAGGCAUUCGUCAUCCUUAAAGGGAACUGCCUGGCCCAUGCCAUCUCGCAA
rnacentral:sRNA from 1 species